UUGCUCAGUGUGCUGUUUCUGUUCUGUUAACUCUGUUUCCUUCUUCUCAUUCCUCGCCCAAGAGGUAUACAGCACGCUCGUUCAGAAUCGGCGUGGCCACCACGGCCACUAAGCGGGGUCUGUCCCCUACUGCGAUCAAGGCGCUGGGCCGUUGGUCGUCUGGCGCAUGCGCUUCCUGCAUUUGACUCACUCCUCAUCACGUCAUUGAAGCAUGCUAUAUCUGGUCUGUAACUUUAUGUUUUCUAUUCUCAUUUCUGGUGACGGUGGUAUUUUGCUGCGUCGGCGGCAUUCACUCUAUCUCUUGGGGGGCUAUCGCUCCGGUCACCCGGUCAUGUCUGUAUUCUAUCCUUCUCUCAUCUAUCAGAUUGAUUUUAUAGUGGUCCGUAAGCCUGUUAUCUCCAUAUUUUGUAACAUCGAACCAGCCUGGCUAGUUGCCGUAGUUGUUUAUCCGUGAUGUCAACUAUCAUACCAUAUUACAUUAUAUUAUAGCCUACGUUCAUUCAUUCAUCCAUUCAUUCAUUUACUCAUUCAUCACCAUGUUCUACUCUCUCCCUUAGGUCACGAUUCCGGCUCCCUACCUACUGUCAUAAUCUAAGUUUUCAGCGCUCUCCUGACCAAGGUGCAUCUAUCAAUCAAAUCAUAACGCUCUACUGCCUCUCUGCUCUCAGAGCAUCUGCGCCAUCGCCCGUUAACAUAGCAUCAUCAUCAUCAUCAUCAUCAUCAUCACAGGGCUCCAGCCUCUGCCGGGCCGCCGCCCAUAGCUUAAGCCUCCACUUUCUCCUGACCAAGGUCACGGUUCUGGCUCUCCACCUACUCCCGUCACAAUCUAAGUUCACAGCGCUCUCCUGCCCAAGGUGCAUCUCUCAAGCAUAACCUACCGCCGUGCUGUCUCUCUGCUCUCAGCGCAUCCGCGCCGUGUCUUCUUGCAUAGCCAAAGAUGGUGUCUCCUUGUAAGCUGUAGUUAAGCCGACUUUGAAGCCAC